rnacentral:rRNA from 1 species
CCCUUAGAUGUUCUGGGCCGCACGCGUGCUACACUGAGUGGAUCAGCGGGUCAGGUUGCGCGAAAGCGUUUCCUAAUCUUUAAAUCCGCUCGUGAUGGGGAUUGACGGUUGCAAUUUUCUGUCAUGAACGAGGAAUACCUUGUAAGCGCGGGUCAUCAUCCCGCGCUGAAUACGUCCCUGCCCUUUGUACACACCGCCCGUCGCUCCUACCGAUUGAAUGCUCAGGUGAGCCAUUCGGACUUUCAUCAUGCUGGUUCCCAGUUUUGAUGAAGGAAAGUCUUGCGAACCUUAUCAUUUAGAGGAAGGAGAAGUCGUAACA